GACAAAGUAGUUUAAAAAAAACCGCGAAUUGUGGUUUCGCAAAUGCUUAUAUAGUCUUUGUCC
rnacentral:tRNA from 1 species